GAUGAACGCUGGCGGCGUGCCUAAUACAUGCAAGUCGAGCGAACGGACGAGAAGCUUGCUUCUCUGAUGUUAGCGGCGGACGGGUGAGUAACACGUGUAUCACCUACCUAUAAUACUGAGAUAACUUCGGGAAACCGUCGCUAAUACCGGAUAAUAUUUUGCACCGCAUGGUUCAAAAGUGAAAGACGGUCUUGCUGUCACUUAUCGAUGGAUCUGGGCUGCAUUAGCUAGUUGGUACGGUAACGGCUUACCAAGGCAACGAUGCAUAGCCGACCUGAGAGAGGGAUCGGCCACACUGGAACGGGGACGCGGUCAAGACGCCUACGGGAGGCAGCAGUAGGGAAUGGGCGGCAAUGGGCGAAAGCCUGACGGAGCAACGCCGCGUGAGUGAUGGAGGUCUUCGGAUCGUGAAACUCUGUUAUUAGGGAAGAACAUAUGUGGAAGUAGCUGUGCACAGCUUGACGGUACCGAAUCAGAAAGCCACGGCUAACUACGUG
rnacentral:rRNA from 1 species